GCCUAAAUACUAGCCCCACCAAUUACCAACCCCCCCAGUGCAAAUAAAACAUUUUCACCAUCAAGUAACGGCGAUUAAAAAAUGACUAAGAGCUAUAAAGAUAGUACCGCAAGGGAAACAUGAAAUAAAAAUGAAAAUCUAAAGCGCAAUAUAGCAAAGCUCAAACCUUGUACCUUUUGCAUCAUGGUCUAGCUAGUUCAACCAAGCAAAACGUACUUAAAGUUUGGCCCCCCGAAACUAAGCGAGCUACUUUAAAACAGCCCCCGGGCUAACCCGUCUCUGUAGCAAAAGAGUGGGAAGAUUUCAAAGUAGAGGUGACAGACCUAUCGAGCUUAGAGAUAGCUGGUUAUUCAGGAAAAGGAUUUUAGUCCGCCUUUAAGUUUUAUCACUACUACUAAAUACCAAAUAAACUUAAAAGCCAUUCAAAUAAGGUACAGCCUAUUUGAAUAAGGAAACAGCCUGCAAUACAGGGUAAUGAUUUUUUACACGUGACUAAGUCGGCCUAAAAGCAGCCAACUUCUAAAUAGCGUCCAAGCCUCAUCACACCUAUCAUUAAUUUCCCCAUUUAUACGCAACCCUCAAUCACUACUGAAUGACUCCAUACCUUAUGGAGGACACCAUGCUAGAACUAGUAACAAGAAGAUGACCCUUCUCCAAAAUGCAAACGUAAGCCAAAAUGAACACUCACCGGCACUUACCGCCACCUAAGCCCACAGUAUUAACUAACAAGAAAACUUUACCGCAUCAGGCGUUAACCUUACACCAGGGCAUUUCCGUGAAAGAUUAAAAAGGGGGGAAGGAACUCGGCAAAUAUUAGCCCCGCCUGUUUACCAAAAACAUCGCCUCUUGGCAAAAAUAUAAGAGGUCCAGCCUGCCCAGUGACAGAAGUUAAACGGCCGCGGUAUCCUAACCGUGCAAAGGUAGCACAAUCACUUGUUCUUUAAAUUAGGACCAGUAUGAAUGGCCACACGAGGGCUAUACUGUCUCCCCCCCUUAAUCAGUGAAACUGAUCUCCCCGUGAAGAAGCGGGGAUACAACUAUAAGACGAGAAGACCCCAUGGAGCUUAAAACUUGUACCACUGCCUCACUCAUACCAAUGCACCAAGGCAAGCAAUGACUACUAGUCUUUCGGCUGGGGCGGCCACGGAGAAAAACUAAACCUCCGCGAUGAAGGGGACACCCCUAAUCAAAGAGCAACCGCUCUAAUAAUCAACAAAUUGACAUUAUUGACCCAACACCUUGAUCAACGAACCAAGUUACCCUGGGGAUAACAGCGCAAUCCAUUUCAAGAGACCCCAUCGACAAAUGGGCUUACGACCUCGAUGUUGGAUCAGGGUAUCCUAGUGGUGCAGCCGCUACUAACGGUUCGUUUGUUCAAC
rnacentral:rRNA from 1 species